CUCCUCUGCAUCAUUAGUUCAUAUCCUUUUGUAAUUCCAUUUGCUUUUAAGUUAUGUAAAAUGUUGUCAUCACUCACUGCUAUUAGCUCUCACUUGAGUGCACAAUUCUGUUCCAGACCACAGACUCUUCAGAAAAAAUAGACUCUGCAAGAUCAGUGCUAUUUCCUUGAUGUCACUACAAGGAGAGAGGAAAGUGGCCAAGACAUCCACUGAAGCUAUCCUGUGCAGUCAGAAUGCUUUACUUCCAAAUGUUUGUAUGUUUGUAUCUGCUCUGCGCAACUAAUGUAUGAGAACACAAGCAAGUCUGAAGUCCUCAGUAUUUUCUUUUGAAGUACACCAUACAUUCAAAUCAGCCAAAUGUUUCUUCUCCUAUUGGGACCUCUGAAGAUGAUUAUUUGCUGCUUUAAGAAUAUAUUAAAGUAAGAGUUCCAUGGAAACUGAGUAUGCUGACUUCAUCCUUAUGAUGGACUCAAGUCUACUGGCUUAAAGGGAGAGAGUCCAGUAUACUAUCAAGAGAAAGACCAACAGAGGACAACGGAUACUUCAGAAUAACAUAUACUCCUAUGCUCUUGAAAGAAGAAAACACAUGGAGUGAACCAUUCAGUCUAUAAUGUUCAGUUCUGUGCUAUUGCUGCUUUAUAUUCAAACACUACUCAAAUAAAUCUAAAUUUCUUUUGAAGUGAAGUAAGAUAAUCACUAAUCUCUGCUGAACUUGACUAUUUGAAUGAGAUAAUAUGAAUUGCUUUUAAAUCUGGAAACAUGUAGACACUGUUAUUCAUAGAUUGACUGCACAUAGGGGUUAAUGUACAAAGAUAGAAAUAAAAAAUGAGAUGCAUUGGAUAAAGUGUGAAUUCAACAUAUUCUGUGAACCAUCCCAGAGCUGAACAGCUUUGGCUAUCACCAUCUAAUUUUAUUGCUUUCCUGCCUGGUAAGUUGUUCUGUAAGUGCUCUCUAAGAAAAGACCUUGCUGAAAGUUGAAAACUGGACAUCGUUAGUUUAAGAUUUUCUGAUAGCUUCUGUGUUGAUUUUCAACAUAAUUCUGAGAACUUCACUGUUACGAUAUAUUGCUUUUUACAGUUACACUGAGCUGAGGCUGUAUAAAUGAUAUACAGCUGCUUUUUUUCCCCUAGAAAUGAGCAUCUGUAUGAAAAUGGCAACUUCUAUACAAUAUUUUAUUCUGAAAAUUGUCUGAGUUACUCAAAAUGAAGGGUUCUAGUGUCACAAGUGAACACUCAAGAUCACUGUUCAGGUACUUGCAUACCACAGGUGGUGUCAUGGAAAAUUUAGUUUCUAAGCACAUGACCAUGAAAACAACACAAGCAGCCUUAAAUAAAACAGUGGACACAGUUGUAUGGGUAAGAUAAAUCAAGGAAGGAAGUAUUUUCAGAAUCUCAAAGCCAAAUACUGAAAUAAAUGUCUUGAGUGCAUGCCACUGAACAAUUUGGAACAACUCUAUGAUUCUAUAACUCGUACA
ensembl:lncRNA